CUCGUAGGUGGCCAACUAAGUCGGACGUGAAAUCCCUCGGCUUAACCGGGGAACUGCGUCCGAUACUGGUUGGCUUGAGUUUGGGAGAGGGAUGCGGAAUUCCAGGUGUAGCGGUGAAAUGCGUAGAUAUCUGGAGGAACACCGGUGGCGAAGGCGGCAUCCUGGACCAAUACUGACGCUGAGGAGCGAAAGCCAGGGGAGGCAAACG
rnacentral:rRNA from 1 species